rnacentral:rRNA from 1 species
CCUACGGGUGGCAGCAGUGGGGAAUAUUGGACAAUGGGCGAAAGCCUGAUCCAGCCAUGCCGCGUGUGUGAAGAAGGCCUUCGGGUUGUAAAGCACUUUCAGUGGGGAAGAAAGCCUUGGGGCUAAUACCCUCGAGGAAGGACAUCACCCACAGAAGAAGCACCGGCUAACUCCGUGCCAGCAGCCGCGGUAAUACGGAGGGUGCGAGCGUUAAUCGGAAUUACUGGGCGUAAAGCGCGCGUAGGCGGUCUGAUAAGCCGGUUGUGAAAGCCCCGGGCUCAACCUGGGAACGGCAUCCGGAACUGUCAGGCUAGAGUGCAGGAGAGGAAGGUAGAAUUCCCGGUGUAGCGGUGAAAUGCGUAGAGAUCGGGAGGAAUACCAGUGGCGAAGGCGGCCUUCUGGACUGACACUGACGCUGAGGUGCGAAAGCGUGGGUAGCAAACAGGAUUAGAUACCCUUGUAUUC